CACGUAGGGCGCAAGCGUUGUCCGGAAUUAUUGGGCGUAAAGAGCUCGUAGGCGGUCUGUUGCGUCCGCUGUGAAAACCCGGGGCUUAACCCUGGGCUGGCAGUGGAUACGGACAGACUAGAGGUAGGUAGGGGAGAAUGGAAUUCCCGGUGUAGCGGUGAAAUGCGCAGAUAUCAGGAGGAACACCGGUGGCGAAGGCGGAUCUCUGGGCCUUACCUGACGCUGAGGCGCGAAAGCUAGGGGAGCAAACAGG
rnacentral:rRNA from 1 species